AUCCAGCUGGCGAGUCCCAAUUGGGGCGAAACGCACGUCCUGGAU
rfam:Schistosoma margrebowiei strain Zambia genome assembly, scaffold: SMRZ_scaffold0002850